GUCAACAAUUAAAUUGAAGUGAAUGUAUUGAAAGUAAACAAUGUCAAGACACUGCUUCUUGCGCGUCGUUUGGGAAAAAUUCCGGAAAGCAAUUUUUUAAAUUCCAAAGAUUCAGUUUACCGAGUGCAAGGUUAUAAAAAGAAGUCAUUGUAUUUUGUACAUAGUUUGCUAUCUAAGAAAUACCAAAUUUCAGAUUCAAUUAUCAGCCCAAUUUCUUUUGAUUAAUAAUUUGGAAGUAAUAUUGAAAAAUAUUUAGAUCAAUUGGAAGAAUUUUUAAGAAAUUUGUUAUUCUGUUGGUUGCCAGCAAAUUGAAGAUCUAAUAUUAUAAUUUUAAAAAAUGUAAUGUACAUUGAUUUUGACUUAUGAAUAGGCAAGAUGGAGUUUGUCUUUACAUUGAAGCAAGUUUUUUGUAAAGUAAUUAAACUGUAAAAAUAAAAUUGAUAUUUUCUCUUAUCAAGCAUAAUGAGUGUAUAUUCUUGUGAACCAUGCAAGAAAACUUUUAAUGGCAUAAAGCCAUAUGAAAGUCAUUUGGCAUCUGAGAAACAUCAGAGGAAAGUUAGUGGGCCAAUAUCUAUUAUUCAGGAUUUUGUGAAUUGCAGUGUCAAUUCUACAGAUUGGGAACAGGAACCCUCCAUAAUAUUUGCUGGGAAUGUUUACAAAUGUACUCUUUGUAAAACUUUUCUUAAUAGUGUAGACCAAGUUAAGAGCCAUAUCAAUGGUGGAAAGCACUUAAAAGCAAAAGUUUCUGUAGGGUUUAUCAAUUCGAAUGUACUGGCGUCUCAUAAUCAAAGCAUUGACCAAGGUGGCUGCACUUCCUUACCAUCUGCCAGUUCCGAAGAUUCACGAUUUCAUUUUUCUGGUCAUAUUGAUGAGAUUAAAAAAUUAGUUGAAAAUAUCAAAGUGUUUAACCCAAAUGAUGAAAUUGUUUUUAACUAAAACUAAACAUCUGCAUCUGCAAAUAUGAUUGAUAAUGUGUGUGUUGUUUGUUAUAAAAUUAGAAUAGGUAUUUCUAUAUGUAUAUUAAAGAUAUUGUAUGUAUUUAUUAUAUACAGUAUUCAUGCAGUAUUUAUAUACAUACUUUCUAGUUUUUAAUUGCACUUCAUCCCUUUUAUUUAUUUAUUUAUUUGCUCGACAUUUAUCUGAGAAAAAUGUGAUUUAUAAUUCUGAACAUAUUUCCAUAUUAAUCAUGAAAUUUUCUUUUUAUGAGUAAUUGCAUUACAAAGAUAAGUGGCUUUAUAUUUAUUUGCUAAUCAGUUAUAUUGUAAUCAGUGUACCAAAUAAAAGUGGCUGGAUUCUUUUAACUGCCUUACACACUUCUGCAUUAUCAGGAUAUAUAUGUUUAACAGAUUAUAAUCAUAAUGCAAGAAGGUGGGAGAAAGCAUUUAAUUUUUCAUUAUCAGUGUUAGAACUUCUACUUGUGCCACUAAUUAUAUUGCCAUUUAAAAUAUGCCAUCUGUGUACUCUCUUUAAAUGUAUUACAUUUGUAUGUUGA